GAGUUUGAUCGUGGCUCAGGAUGAACGCCGGCGGUGUGCCUAAUACAUGCAAGUCGUACGCACUGGCCCAACUGAUUGAUGGUGCUUGCACCUGAUCGACGAUGGAUCACCAGUGAGUGGCGGACGGGUGAGUAACACGUAGGUAACCUGCCCUGUACAGGGGGAUAACAAUCAGAAAUGACUGCUAAUACCGCAUAAGACCACAGCACCGCAUGGUGCAGGGGUAAAAACUCCGGUGGUACAGGAUGGACCCGCGUCUGAUUAGCUGGUUGGUGAGGUAACGGCUCACCAAGGCGACGAUCAGUAGCCGGCUUGAGAGAGUGAACGGCCACAUUGGGACUGAGACACGGCCCAAACUCCUACGGGAGGCAGCAGUGGGGAAUAUUGCACAAUGGGGGAAACCCUGAUGCAGCAACGCCGCGUGAGUGAAGAAGUAUUUCGGUAUGUAAAGCUCUAUCAGCAGGGAAGAAAGUGACGGUACCUGACUAAGAAGCCCCGGCUAACUACG
rnacentral:rRNA from 1 species